UCCAAAAUUAUUUUUCUUGUGAUGGUUGUUGCUCCAAACAAUUUUAUUUUUAUUCCAUCAAUGAUCUUAGGGUCCGAUAAAGUUUGCACAGACCGUAAAGUAAGAAAAAAUGGCACCUUCAACUCACGAUUGGUCGGAACAAGCCACGGAGGAAAAAUCUAAAAUAAAUCGGUACAUAUAUUAAGAAUGAUGAUAAAAUCAUUUAAUCAUUAAUUAAAACAAAAACUUGAUUAGAAUUAGACUUACUGUUUCUUGGGGGGUUGAAAAGAUCAAGAAAUUUUACACUUUUAUCAGUUUUG
rnacentral:lncRNA from 1 species